rnacentral:rRNA from 1 species
UAACACCAGCGCCACGAGUGGCAAUCAGCAUUAUUGGGCCUAAAGCGUCCGUAGCCUGCUUAGUAAGUCUUUCGUUAAAUCCGGUGACUUAAUCAUCGGUCUGCGAGAGAUACUACUAGGCUUGAGGACGGGAGAGGUCGACGGUAUUCCGGGGGUAGGGGUAAAAUCCUAUAAUCCUCGGAGGACCACCAGUGGCGAAGGCGGUCGACUAGAACGUGCCUGACGGUGAUGGACGAAAGCCGGGGGAGCAAACCGGAUUAGACACCCGGGUAGUCCCAGCCGUAAACGAUGCGGGCUAGGUGUUGGGGCAGCUACGAGCUGCUCCAGUGCCGCAGAGAAGUCAUUAAGCCUGCCGCCUGGGAAGUACGGUCGCAAGACUG